CUCCGGGCUCAGAUUGAACGCUGGCGGGAUGCUUUUACACAUGCAAGUCGAACGGCAAAGCAUGGACUUCGGUCUGGUGGCGAGUGGCGAACGGGUGAGUAAUGUAUCGGAACGUGCCUAGUAGUGGGGAUAACUACGCGAAAGCGUAGCUAAUACCGCAUACGCCCUUCGGGGGAAAGCGGGUAGACCUUCGGGCCUCGCACUAGAGCGGCCGAUAUCGGAUUAGCUAGUUGGUGGGGUAACGGUUCUUCAAGGCGACGAUCCGUAGCUGGUUUUGAGAGGACGACCAGCCACACUGGGACUGAGACACGGCCCAGACUCCUACGGGAGGCAGCAGUGGGAAUUUUGACAAUGGGGAAACCCUGAUCCAGCCAUCCUGGCGUGUGCGAUGAAGGCCUUCGGGUUGUAAAAGCACUUUUUGGCAGGAAGAAACGGCAUGUGGGAUACCCGUGCAACUGACGGUACCUGCAGAAUAAGCACCGGCUAACUACGUGCCAGCAGCCGCGGUAAUAUGAAAGACCGGAAUUGGGCGUAAAGGUGGCGCAGGCGGUUCGGAAAGAAAGAUGUGAAAUCCCAGAGCUUAACUUUGGAACUGCAUUUUUAACUACCGAGUUAGAGGUUGAGGGAGGUGGAAUUCCGCGUGUAGCAGUGAAAUGCGUAGAUAUGCGGAGGAACACCGAUGGCGAAGGUAGCCUUCUGGGAUAACACUGACGCUCAUGCACGAAAGCGUGGGGAGCAAACAGGAUUAGAUACCCUGGUAGUCCACGCCCUAAACGAUGUCAACUAGCUGUUGGGGCCUUCGGGCCCGGUAGCGCAGCUAACGCGUGAAGUUGACCGCCUGGGGAGUACGGUCGCAAGAUUAAAACUCAAAGGAAUUGACGGGGACCCGCACAAGCGGUGGAUGAUGUGAUUAAUUCGAUGCAACGCGAAAACCUUACCUACCCUUGACUAUGUCCGAAUCCCGAAGAGAUUUGGGAGUGCCUGCAAGAGAACCGGAACACAGUGCUGCAUGGCUGUCGUCAGCUCGUGUCGUGAGAUGCUGGGUUAAGUCCCGCAACGAUGCAACCCUUGUCAUUAGUUGCUACGAAAGGGCACUCGCACGAGACUGCCGGUGACAAACCGGAGGAAGGUGGGGAUGACGUCAAGUCCUUCAUGGCCCUUAUGGUAGGGCUUCACACGUCAUACAAUGGUCGGGACAGAGAGGGUCGCCAACCCGCGAGGGGGAGCCAAUCCCAGAAACCCGAUCGUAGUCCGGAUCGCAGUCUGCAACUCGACUGCGUGAAGUCGGAAUCGCUAGUAAUCGCGGAUCAGCAUGUCGCGGUGAAUACGUUCCCGGGUCUUGUACAUUACGCUCCGUCAUACCAUGGGAGUGGGUUUUACCAGAAGUAGUUAGCCUAACCGUAAGGAGGGCGAUUACCACGGUAGGAUUCAUGACUGGGGUGAAGUCGUAACAAGGUAACCCCA
rnacentral:rRNA from 1 species